CUUCUUCCCAAAUACAAUAGUCACCGAGCCCUGCCCGCCACCACCUUCUUCACGCACAAUACGCCAAUCACCAAACCCUGCCCACCACCACCUAUUCCUCAUCCGUCCACCGUCGCCACCACAUAUGAAAACCAGUUCCGUUUUUCCCUUUUUGAGCCCAUUCACUCCAAAAGUAUUGUUUCAGUUACAAUCUGAUGCUCUAAAUUUUCAAUUUUGAACAAAAGGGAACAAUAAAGCCUUGGCUAGAAUGUUUAUCAAUCCACUGCUGGAUCUUGACAUACCCAAAGAUUGAUAUACAGGAAACCCAUGAUACAAAAGCGAUGAAACUUUCCCAUUUGAAGUCAAAUUUUUGUAUUUUGGCAUGAAAGUGUUUAUAGAUUCAUCUAUUGGGCAAAAAACUGUUAACCCAUCUACAACACUUUGUGAAAAAGUGUUGGCAGCACUGGAGCUUGUUAACAGAUCGAAAAAUGCCUUGCAGCCCUUGUUUCGCCAUUAAUGAAGUGACCUUUAGAUCUUGGGGUCCGUCGGCCGUAGCUUCAGCUUCCGGCGAAAAGCAGUACAUGGUUGAUUUAAAUUACAACAAUGACAUAAGGAAUUUCAUUUAUUGAUUUGGCGAAUGUUGUGGGUUUGGAUGGAUUUGGAAAG
rnacentral:lncRNA from 1 species